rnacentral:rRNA from 1 species
GAAGAGAGGAGCUUGCUCUUCUUGGAUGAGUUGCGAACGGGUGAGUAACGCGUAGGUAACCUGCCUUGUAGCGGGGGAUAACUAUUGGAAACGAUAGCUAAUACCGCAUAAUAAUGAAUGACUCAUGUCAUUUAUUUGAAAGGGGCAAUUGCUCCACUACAAGAUGGACCUGCGUUGUAUUAGCUAGUAGGUGAGGUAACGGCUCACCUAGGCGACGAUACAUAGCCGACCUGAGAGGGUGAUCGGCCACACUGGGACUGAGACACGGCCCAGACUCCUACGGGAGGCAGCAGUAGGGAAUCUUCGGCAAUGGGGGCAACCCUGACCGAGCAACGCCGCGUGAGUGAAGAAGGUUUUCGGAUCGUAAAGCUCUGUUGUAAGUCAAGAACGAGUGUGAGAGUGGAAAAUUCACACUGUGACGGUAGCUUACCAGAAAGGGACGGCUAACUACGUGCCAGCAGCCGCGGUAAUACGUAGGUCCCGAGCGUUGUCAGGAUUUAUUGGGCGUAAAGCGAGCGCAGGCGGUUUGAUAAGUCUGAAGUUAAAGGCUGUGGCUCAACCAUAGUUCGCUUUGGAAACUGUCAAACUUGAGUGCAGAAGGGGAGAGUGGAAUUCCAUGUGUAGCGGUGAAAUGCGUAGAUAUAUGGAGGAACACCGGUGGCGAAAGCGGCUCUCUGGUCUGUAACUGACGCUGAGGCUCGAAAGCGUGGGGAGCGAACAGGAUUAGAUACCCUGGUAGUCCACGCCGUAAACGAUGAGUGCUAGGUGUUGGAUCCUUUCCGGGAUUCAGUGCCGCAGCUAACGCAUUAAGCACUCCG